rnacentral:rRNA from 1 species
UAAUACAGAGGGUGCAAGCGUUAAUCGGAGUAACUGGGCGUAAAGGGCGCGUAGGCGGUUAAAUGCGUGUGAUGUGAAAGCCCCGGGCUUAACCUGGGAAGUGCAUUGCAAACGGUUUAGCUAGAGAGCAGGAGAGGGCGAUGGAAUUUCCGGUGUAGCGGUGAAAUGCGUAGAGAUCGGAAGGAACGUCGAUGGCGAAGGCAGUCGCCUGGCCUGCAACUGACGCUGAGGCGCGAAAGCGUGGGUAGCGAACAGGAUUAGAUACCCUGGUAGUCCACGCUGUAAACGAUGAGGACUAGAUGUUCAUUGGGGAACCAAGGAGUGUCGAAGCAAACGCGAUAAGUCUUCCGCCUGGGAAGUACGGCCGCAAGGUUG